GCAGCCUACAUGAUGCCAAGAUGCAAAUAUCUCAAUUACUAGACUGGUAUAAAGAAGGUUGUCUGAUAGGGCUUUUCAGGUCGCCAGCUAGCUGUUCAUAGUCACUACUAUUCUGGUUUGUGGACUACAGGAAAUGGAGUCCCAAGCACGUCUCCAUUCACAUCGACAGGCUGUAGUGGAACGGGUCACGGGCUUCAUGGUCCUCCGUGUCUACGUCACUAAGGAUCUAUCAUGGUCCAAACACACCAACACAGUAGUGAAGAGGGCACGACAACACCUCUACCCCCUCAGGAGGCUGAAAUUAUUUUGCAUGAGCCCUCAGAUCCUCAAAGAGUUCAACAGCUGCACAAUCAAGAACAUGGUGACUGGCUGCAUCGCCGCUUGGUAUGGCAACUGCUUGGCGCUACAGGGUAGUGGGUACAGACCCAUACCUCACUGGAGCCAAGCUCCCUACCAUCCAGGACCUCUAUACCAGGUGGUGUCAGAUGAAGGCCCAAAAAACUGUCAAAGACUCCAGCCACAAACUGUUCUCUUUGCUACCGCAGGGCAAGUGGAACCAACAGGAACCUGAACAGCUUCUACCCCCACGCCAUAAGCGGUCUAAACAAGAGUGCUAGUUAGCUAAUCAAAUGACUACCUGGACAGCCUGCAAAGUCUUGCAUUGACUAGCACACACACUGGACACCCCAACACACACAUAACAUGCACACACAUGCAUACUGAAGCCACACACACGUUCACACAUACUGCUGCUAAGUCCCUUUAGCCCUACCUAUAUGUACAGUACAUAACUACCUCAGUUGCCUUGAUCCCCUGCACAUCGAUGUAUUUAUUUUUCUUCUACUCCCUUUUUACAGCCAUGUUAUUUUUACUCGUUAUUCACCGUGUCACUAUUUAUAUUCUUAAUUCAAAUGUUUUGUAUUAUCUUUAACUCUGCAUUGUUGGAAAAGGACCGAUAAUUUAGGUCGGUGAGCUGGGUCCUGGGUUGUUUGUUUCUUCCCACGUUUCCCAUGAUGCCAGUUGUGGGGAGAGAACCCAACGUUCACAUGGUGUGUUCUCUCCCUGUUCAUCUCUGUCUUUUACCUCUGGUCGGCAAUGAAACAGACUACACUACAGCUGACUGAAAUGUACCUCUUCAUCUCCCAGCAUACACUCCAGUCUGCAGCUGAAACAGGGUCUGCCUCUCAUCAUCCAGAUCAUCAGCUGGACUAAACUGGCCUGCCUGCCUUUCCUGAUCCUGAGCCUGCCUGUCCUGACCCUGAGUCUGCCUGAGCCAGCUUGCCAUCCUGAGUGCCGUUUUGUACCUGCCUGACUUUGCCCUGGAUUACCAACCUCUGCCUGCCCUCAACCUGCUGUUUGCCUGCCCCUUGUGUUAUAAUAAAUAUCUGAG